rnacentral:tRNA from 1 species
AAAAGAUGGCUACGUAGCUCAGUUGGUUAGAGCACAUCACUCAUAAUGAUGGGGUCACAGGUUCAAAUCCCGUCGUA